GCGGUGCGGGAAGCUGUGGGCGGCAGAGGGGCCGUGAGGGCGCCUUGUUGCGGGGGCAGAGGCCCCGGACGGGGAGAAAAGGGGAGCGUGUUCCCCUGGCAGAGCGCAAAGCGAAGCAGCAGGCUGAGCGAAGGAGGUGGUGUUCAUACAUCAUCAGAAUAGCAUCAGAAGCGUCUCCACAGGUGACAGCUUGCCGAAUUUUGAUGCAGUAAGUCUGUAAGUGCGCUUAAGGAUUCUCCAUCGCCCGUGCCAGUUGCCAUUUUGUGGCGCUUUUGUGUAAAGUAUGCCCAACUAGUUUAAAAGUUUAAUGUUUUUCCCACGAAGCAGUUUGAGGUAUUGUGCUAUUUUUCCUUUGAAGAAUGUCCGUGACAGUUACCCAGAAAACACAAACAGGGUAAACAGAGAGUUCUUCCUUUCAUCAAACCGUUCUCAUUUAGUCUCUUCUUUUAGCAUCAUAUUCUUCUGAUCAUCUUCACAAGUUUCUGUACAGAAAGUGCUCAGUCAGUAAAGAUCUCAAUACUAAAGAGUUUGACUGUUUCAACCAAUUUGGAGCCAUAAACCCUAAAAAGCACAAACUGGUGUUCAAAGUUUCAAGUCAGACUGCCACUGUGAUAAAGAUACUCAGCACAACCACUGCUCCUGUGAGUCACUGCUUACCCUAGUUUGUUAUUUAGUGCAAACCCGAAGUUACAGGGAAAUUAAGAUCUGAACUGUGGUAACUUCUCAGUUAUGCUCUAUGAACUGUGGAAGAUCUUUGAGGCCAUAAUAAAGGUUUCACGGCUGUUGUGGAGAAACUGAUGGAAGAAUGGGAGCUCCACCAUUUCUAGUUGCAGCCAUUGUGACAAAUUCCAAAGAUUUUCAAAAGGUUUUGGCAGCACUGCUGUCCUUGGGAUGGCCAAGAUUGCCCAGCACAGCAGCACCUCCUCUCAUCCAGCCUGCAGUCCAGCCAAGAGUGGGUGAUCACAUGUGUCUCAGAGUGGCAGAGGUAGUUGAGUGGCAUCUCAGUAGCUAGUUUUAAGCAGCCUUGUGCAGCUGUAAAGAGAAAUUUAAAAAAUAAGAGGAAGGGGAGCUGAGAAAGACUCUGAAAGACAAAGAGGGUGAGAAGUCAAGAAGGCUAGCAGAUAAAAAAAAAGUCAUGAGUAAGGAAGAAGGUAUUCUCUUGAGAGAAUGUGAGGAAAAGAAGAACAACUUACAGAAUAGAAUGGAAAAGGGAGAGACUGUAGUAUAGGUGCUGCUUCGUCCCUUGGAAUCAUGGAGCAGACAUCUUUAGAUUAUUUGUCCAUAGUCCCUGUUAUUAUCUCCUGGUAUUAUGGUCCCUGUGUCUCCCUUACAUGUGCAUUUCAAGAUUUUUCUGUACUUUGAUAUGAUAAAAUGUAUUUAAUAGUUAACAAAACCUUACGUUUUUUUGUCAGGCAGGUGAUUUUUCUCCUGUGCCACAUUAAACUACUAAAUAUGUGGUUUGAACAUGCAUUAACUUGUGAGUCCAAUGAAGUGCACUCCAAACAGACAUUUGUAUCAUAAAUAGCAUAUAUUAAUUACCCCUUCAUUGCUAGGCUAAGUCUAGGCCAUUGCUUUGAGUGUAGAAGAUGCUUGUUUUUUUUCUGCUGUGGGCUUUCCCUUCUUCAAUGCAGUAGCUUGGUACUUCACUUUUCUUUUUCUUUUUUUAAUUUAGACUUUAGGUUUUUAUUUCCUGCCAUUUUCACAUUACUCUCAGUUGUUUGUUUCAUCUGUCAAGGUAACUCACAUAUUGUUUACCUUUUCUUUGAGCUCAUUAAUGAAGUUAUUAAAAUAAGAAACCACUUCAUACCUUGCAGGAGACCCACUGCCUACUUGUCCACAACUUAGUGCAAUCUGCUGCCAUUUCUCAUCAGCCAGUGUUUGUGAUCCUUCAGCCUGUUUUCAAUUUACAUGACAGUGCUUACGUCCAAAGCAAUUUGGAUUCAUUUUGGGAGAUUUAGUAAGACACUGUAUUGAAUCCUUUAUUAAAAUCAUGCUGUGUAUCUCUCAUCCAGGAUUUUUGCAGUUCUAUCAAAAAAGCAAUCACGUUUCCUUGGCACGACGUGUUCCUUAUGAACCCAUGCUGCUUAUUGCUCAUUGUACCAUUAUCCUUUGAAUGUUUAGAAGAGUAUUUUGGAGUCAUGAGUUUUGUUUCUUUUUUCUGUUUAUUUUCUUUUUCCCCUCAGCAAAUGUUCUUUUCUUUCUCAUUACAGAAUAUGAUUGAAAUUAAACUCCUUGUUUAAUAAAGCACACUUCUUCCCUUUAUUGAUGUUUGAGGCUAUAUUUCCUAUUCCAUAUGACUUUUCACAGAUAGUUUUUGAGGGCUUACUCUUUUCAUUGUGCACUCAGGAAUGCAUUUAACAUGGGCUAAUUGACUGGAUACAACUGAUUUUCUUACUUUUGUGCUAUCCAUAGCAAUUUUUUUCUUGUCCUGAUUUUGGCCAGGAUAGAGUUAAUUUUCUUUCUAGAAGCUGGUGUGGUGCUGUGUUUUGGAUUUAGUAGAAGAACGUUGUUUUAACACUUUGAUGUUUUAAUUGUUGCAUAUUACUGCUUACCCUGAGUCAAGGACCUUUCAGUUGGCUCCUGCUCUGGUGUUGAGGAGCUGCACAGGAAGCUGGGAGGGAGCAUGGCCAGGACAGGUGACCUGAACAUGUUUGGUACCAUAGAACAUCACCCCUGUGUAGAAACUGGGAGAAGUUUCCUGGGAGCUGCUUGAGGAUGGGCUGGGCAUUUGUCAGUGGAUGGUGAGCAGUUGUCUUGUGUAUCACUUGUUUCUCUUGGGUUUUAUUCCUCUCUUGGUUUUAUAUCAUUAUUAUUACUUAUGUAACUAUUAUCAUAUUUUACUUUAUUUUAAUUAGUAAAAUGCUCUUAUCUCAACCCCUAGGCUGCACCUUUUUGUGAUCCACUUUCCCAUCCCACCAGGGAAGGAGGCUUGGGAGAGAGUGAGGAGCUGUGUUGCCAACUGUGGCUAAACCAUGAAACUUGUUUUCAGUCAAACCUGCUUUCAAUGAGAACAAAUAAGAAAUACAUGUGGGAAACGUGAGUUUUGCCUACCUCUCUCCCACCAAAGUAGCCCUACAUUUGAACCAUGUUUGCAUAGAUUUUAUAUAUUUUAACAAUCCCCUUUGGUAUCAUUAACUUGUUCUUGGCUUUAUCCUGAGAGCCAUUGAACACUUUGACAGAGGUCUAUUGUAACUGUAAGAAUAUAUUUCCUUUUCAUUGCCCAAGUCAUCCUGCAGGAAUUUGGAGAUUCCCCAGUUUUGGGAAUAUUCAUAUAUUCAAGUUAAGCACAAGACUAUAUGUUUUUCUGUUGCUCAUACAACAGCUCUUCUACAGUUCAUCUUUUUCCUGAAGAGUAGGCCACUGUAUGUAUUGUCUGCAUAAGUAAUCACAGCACCCUAGGGAGAAGAGUUAUUUAAAACUAUGAUAAAUGUCAUACACGUUCUCCCUUUCAUGACUUAUUUGUUCUCUAUUAAGGUCAGAUCGAAGUUGUAGACAAUUAAUUUUUAUCACACUCUUAUUUGUCAAAUGUCGUAUUUUGGCUUAGGGUUCUCUUCUCUGUUUUGAUUUGCUUUGGGGUUUUUUUCCUAUUUUUUUUUCUUUUUCCUCUCUCCCCCUUCUGUAUUCCAUGAUGAAUUGAUAGCUUCUGAAGGAUGACAGGGAAUAAGAAGAUCAGCUAACUGCAUCUCAGCAGCUGCAUCCACUGUAAAACUGUAUUUCAUCGGGGUGCUGGCAAAAUGUUAGCUUCCUGUAGAGUGAAACACAUGCAUUUCAUGUGGCACACAUGUAUCAUAUAUGAGCCUGGCUGAACUGUGUGUUGCUGUGAGCUAAGGUUUCUGCCACAUCCCCUAUAAAGGUAAGGAGCAGCAGCAGUGAUUUAUGUGAAGAAUUUUCAAAACGUGUUUAGUUAAUAUUUUAAAUAGGAAAGGGCUGAGCUAUUAUGUUUGUAAAGAUCCUUCUGUUUUCAGGCUGAGCCUGUCUGAAAAGCACUCAUCGUUCAGUUCGAGUCACUCACUGGAACAUUGCUUAAAAUGAAGGGCUGCUCUUUCUAACCUCUUGCAAGGAAGGCUUUAGCCAGAGCCAGAAAACAGAGCACAGCCCAAGCUGCCAGCUUGUUAGCGUGAGAUUCCCGCCUCCAUAGAAGUCUUUGGAUUAAUGACUUCAGACAGACAGAUGUGAGACUCAGAGGCCAUGUGUGGGGGAAGGGGUUUCUUGUCAGAAGGCCCUGGAGUGUUCUUGGUGAUGAGAGUAGCUUUAUUCCCUGAAAAAUACAGGGAGUUGACUGAGCAACUCUGAAGGAAGGCUGGACAAAUGGAAGGAAAAAAUAUAAAUAUUGCAGGUAUCUUUGUGCUGGAAAGUAAUGCACAGCAGCUGCUCUGAGUCCAUCCAAGUAAACACCCUCCUUUUUCUGUGUUCAGUGUAGAAAUCUUAAGCUAAGUUCUCCACAUCUGAAUACAGUAAUGUUACCAAUGCGUCGUUGCUGAUGGAAGUGAUCCGAGUUUCCCAUGAGCCAUCAUUGCAGGAAAAACAGAUUUCUGUGGGGUAGAAGAUUUUAUAAGCACCAAAUCUGUCAUAGCAAAUCCAUCAAGGUUAUCCCCUGCACACUAGGUUUCCUGCUAUGCUAUCAAAAAUAAAUUAAAUCAAAUGAAAUCUAAACAUCUUCAUCAAGCCCUUAUAUUAUUAAUGAGGAAAUACCCUAUGGAGCACAACUUACAGUAUGCACAUUGUGCAAUAAAAUAUUUGCAUGUUCUGUGACAUCUGUAGAGUACAAGAGUCUGUAGUCUUGAAUGGUAUUUGGAAUGCAAUUGUGCACAAAGAAGAGGCAAAUAGAAAAUUUACACAUAUUUUUAAUAAUAAAAUGUA